rnacentral:piRNA from 1 species
UAAACAUAGGGUCGCUGCUAUUGGGAGA